ensembl:snRNA U6 U6 spliceosomal RNA
UUGGAUUUCGCAGCCAUCCUAUUUAAUUAAACAUUCCUGGCUAUGAUAUAGAGAAGAUUAGCAUGGCCCCUGCACAAGGAUGACAUGCAACUUUGUGAAGCUUUCUGCGUUUUU